CCCUAUGGGGCGCACCAGGUCUCGAUUGCAUCGCUCAUUGUCGUGCUCGGGAUCGUCGUCGACAAUGCCAUCGUCAUCGUGGACAACUAUAUCGAGCUUCUCGAUCACAAAAUACCAAGGGAGGAAGCGACGUGGCGCUCUGCCGCGGAUGUCCUGAUCCCGGUUCUUGCUGCGACGGUGACGAUCAUCUGUUCCUUUUUGCCUCUGCUCAUCCUCAGCGGUACGGCCGGUGAGUUCAUCGUUGCGCUUCCGCUGACAGUUACGAUUGCUCUCGUAAUUUCCUUCGUUGUCGCCAUCACGCUCACGCCGUUUCUCUGCAGUCUUUUCAUCAAGAAGGGGCUUCACGACCACGAUGCUCCUGCCAAGAAGAAAUCGUUCAAUCUCCUGGACAGCCUCCAGGGCGCGUACGCAAAGGCGAUCGCGUUUUUCAUGAAGCGAAAGGGCCUGGCUCUGGCACUCGGUGGCGGGAGAGC
rnacentral:rRNA from 1 species